UCUAUCUCAUCCAAACAGAGUGGUUUCUGUGUACAUACAAAAGGUAGAAAUGGAGAAAAAAAGCGAGAAAAUAUUUGAAAGGGGUUAUAUUAAUUGCUAAAUAUUUUAUUCACAGAGGUCAAUAACAUGGCAAGAUGAAAUUAUUUGUAUAGUUUUGUCUGAGCGAGAACAAUGUGGAUGUAUUGUUUGUAUAUAUUGUAUAUAUUAAAACAAAGAUGUGCAUGAAUUCAAGAAAAAGAACAAAAGCAAAGCAUUAGUGGCUAUGGUCUGUAAAAUGAAACAAAAAAAACUUUAUUUCACUAUAAGAGUACUUUAUUUUAAAUGUUCUGUAGAAGAACAUUUUGCUAAAGCAUGACCUGCAAAAAAUAAAAAGGAGCUACUGUAUUUAGACUUAGGAAAAGAGGCAGAGUAGCAUUACUUUAAAAAAAAAAAAAAAAGGAUAUGUUUACAUUUAAUUUUGGCUAUCAGGAGUUUAUUUUAUUUUAUUUAAAAAAAAUUUUUUUGCCAAAGGUGCCAAGUAAUGUGAAUGCUAAUAUUGCUUAAAAAAAUUAAGUUACUUUUGCAAAAUAGAUAAUCAUAAGAUGAAUCCUUAGAGACCUUAACACCAUCCACUCACACCAACAAAGAACAUUAGGAUGAUCAAUGUUUAGGAAAAAAAAUUAGGACAAAAUGAGAAAAAUAUCACAUUUUCAUAUCUCCUGCUGGAAAUUAAAAAACAAACAACAACAAAAACCACGAAUAAAAAUUGCUCACUCGACAAAAUAAAAGGGAAACCCGGUGGAGAUUGGUGUUGACGGAAGGGUGCCACGGUACAGUACUUUCCAGGUAAUGAGGAGCCAAAGAAAUCUGAUGCUUUCAAAGCUAACUUAUGAGAGAACCAAUUUUGCAUUUGCUAAUGCCAGUUUAAAACUCCCAGGUUAAGUGUGAGAAUUGGUUGGUAUGAGAUUUUCUUUUUUUAAAAAACAAAAAACAAAAAACAAACCAACAUGGUUCUGGCUGCCAACCGUGAGUUAAAACUCGAGGCUUGUUGUGAAGCCUAAAAAUAUUCACAAAUGAGCUUUAAGCUGGUGUCUUCAGAAGGAAGGUAGAAACAAAAGGAUUGUGGUUAAAAAUAAUAAUAAUAAUAAAAACUGGGGUCAGUGCUCUCGGUGCCUUUUCUAUAAUUGUACUUGUUUUUUAAUUACUUCCUUUCACUGCCAACCUCAAAUUACUGUACAGUACAUGUCUUUCUGCUUGUGAUCAGCUUGGAACAGCGACAGCCCCACAGCUAGGAGCCACCUGUACAUUUGUAAGCUGACCCGACCCAAUUUUGUUUUUACAUGUGUGGGUUAUGUUGCAGCUGUUGCAAUCCUCGACCCCCCUACCCCCGCCCCCACCACACCUAUUAUUUUACACAAUUUGACCUGUCUGAGGACACUGAGUAAUUUACAUAAACAAUUGUAUUCAUAACAGGGAAUAGAAUGUAAAGCCAGCUCUUUUCAGAAUAUCCUAUCUCAAUCAUGGAUCUGGAUACAUUUACUCCAUUGCUUAUGGUUCAGAUGACCAAUCAUUUGACCAGAGCAAUGACCUCAGUGGAUUUGCUUCAACCCUCACAUUUAUUUUUUAGUGUUUCACAUGCCACAUUAGCUGAAUAUGUUAGAAAACUCUGGAAGAUAAAGACUUACAUAGAAUUAGGAAGUUCUUAUGGAGGAGAUAGAAGUAGGGUCAAAACCUACCAGUACAACUGUGAAUUCUAGGUGAGGUCGAAGCAUACUUCCACUGACACAAAGCAUUUAUGACCACCUUUUUUGAUUGUAACUCUUAAUUUUGAAUAUAAGGUGAUAGGCGCAGCUUUCUUGGAUAAUCUGAAUUCCCAAGUGCCAGGAGUAGGAUUUCAUGAUAAAAUUAAUAGCUAAUCUUAUUCUGUCUCCUGAAGAUUUAAUUGCUAUCCUUGUUACCCAUUCAAAAUCAGCUGUACUGUGUGAAUGAAAUAAAGACAUUAAGAUGAACCCCUUUCUGGCUGCACGGUCGCUUAUGGCAGUUCCACACAGUAGUUGGCGCCCAACGGGGGGUCCCUGAGACUUGCAUGUAAAACUAGUCUAGAUGUCUCCUUUUUUGUAAGUUUUAUUUUUGUAAUUGUGCAUGUAAAGCAUCAUUGAGUCAAUGGAUCUGUUGAAGAACUCAGCUGCUGGAAACCAUGCAAAAUGUUUUGAAUUGCCCUUAAAAAUAUGGAAAAUGUUUUCUGAAUGCUUUAUAUUCUUUCUGCUGUAAAUUAAAAAUGAAGAAAAUUUCCCC
rnacentral:lncRNA from 1 species